rnacentral:rRNA from 1 species
CAGCAGCCGCGGGAAUACGGAGGGUGCAAGCGUUAAUCGGAAUUACUGGGCGUAAAGCGCACGCAGGCGGUCUGACAAGUCAGAUGUGAAAUCCCCGGGCUUAACCUGGGAACUGCAUUUGAAACUGUCAGGCUGGAGUCUUGUAGAGGGGGGUAGAAUUCCAGGUGUAGCGGUGAAAUGCGUAGAGAUCUGGAGGAAUACCGGUGGCGAAGGCGGCCCACUGGACAAAGACUGACGCUCAGGUGCGAAAGCGUGGGGAGCAAACAGGAUUAGAUACCCCUGUAGUCCCUGUCUCUUAUAC